GUAGUAUGAUCGAGUGAAGGUGAU
rnacentral:siRNA from 1 species